AACGAAUGCUGGCGGCAGGCCUUACACAUGCAAGUCGAACGUGAAAGUCCUUCGGGAUGAGUAAAGUGGCGCACGGGUGAGUAACGCGUGGGAACAUGCCCUUCAGUACGGGAUAACAGCGGGAAACUGCGGCUAAUACCGUAUAUUCCCUACGGGGGAAAGAUUUAUCGCUGAAGGAUUGGCCCGCGUUAGAUUAGCUAGUUGGUGAGGUAAUGGCUCACCAAGGCUACGAUCUAUAGCCGGUCUGAGAGGACGAUCGGCCACACUGGAACUGAGACACGGUCCAGACUCCUACGGGAGGCAGCAGUGGGGAAUAUUGGACAAUGGGCGAAAGCCUGACCCAGCCAUGCCGCGUGAGUGAUGAAGGCCUUAGGGUUGUAAAGCUCUUUUGGCGGGGAAGAUAAUGACGGUACCCGCAGAAUAAGCCCCGGCUAACUUCGUGCCAGCAGCCGCCGUAA
rnacentral:rRNA from 1 species